UGCCAUGCAGCCUAAGUUCAAAAUGUGUAGAGUCGAAAUCCGGAAUCGACUCCACUGGAAUCAGAGCCGACUCCAAAAUGGCUGGAAUCGACUCUGAUUCCAGUGGAGUCGAUUCCGGAAUUCGACUCUACACAUUUUAAUGGCAGCAUGGGAUUGAUGAUUAAUGUCAGUUGAACAGCAAUACUUCACAACAGAAAGUACACAGGAGUUCAUUUUGUCCCAAACCACAUACCGGUCUACUAAUUACGUCACCGUAUUCAUAGCGUUACAUGGCAUAAUUUUCAGAGCCUACUAUUUGUCUAUAUGUGCGGAUUGGGACGCAGCCUUCUUUGUCACCCUUUUUGCUGUAGUUCUGCUUCUUUAGGCAUUAUUUGCUCACUCCCGGAAUAACAACAGAUGCAUUAUCGCCCCCUACUGUGUGCAGGGUGAAGCUGAAGAUGACCGAUAUACAGGAGUCACAGGGUCACAGGGAACCUGGAGUCUAUCCCAGAGAACAUCGGGCACAAGGCGGGGUACACCCUGGAGAGGGUGCCAGUCCAUCGCAGGGCACAAUCGCAUACACAUUCACACACCGAUUCAUACACCCAUUCAUAAACUACGGACACUUUGGACACGACCAAUCAGCCUACCAUGCAUGUCUUUGGACUGGGGGAGGAAACCGAGUACUCAGAGGAACUCCGCACACAGGGCCACGGUGGGAAUCAAACCCCCGACCCUGGAGGUGUGAGGCAAACGUGCUAACUACUAAGCCACCGUUCGCCCCACCUUUAUGAAACAAUAAAAUGAAAAUGUAAAAUUUGUGUAUAAUUUCUGGGUAUUAUAUUUUCUAUCAUCACUUUUUGGCAGAGGCAGGGACAGUUUUUAAAAUUUUCCAAAUUGUCAAAGCUUUCUUGCCUUUAUUCAAACAUCCACCUCAACACUUGAUGCAUUUCUGAAAUGCACAAGGUGUUGAUAGUGUAUAUGUGAAGGAAAAAGCAUGGCUUACAGUUGUGUCAAGAUUGACCAAAAAACAUUUUUAGUGGCGUUUGAUAAUUUGGUCAACUAUAUCUAUCUCAGUUUAGACCUUUAGUUUCAGCCUCAGUGGCACGUUUAAAAUGUUAUUUAUUUAGUACAUACUUAUCAUGGCAUAAACAAAUCAAAUUUCAAUAAUGAAAUUGGAAAUUUAAAAAAAGACGUGAAUAUCUGAUAUUUGCUGAUUUUCCGUGAAGUAUUUAUACACUUGCUCUGAAUUCAAUCAUUCAUUCAUUAUCUUCAGUAACCACUUUAUCCCAGUCAGAGUCGUGCUGGAUCCAGAGCCUAUCCCAAAAAACACAGGGUGUGGGUCCUGGGUGUGAUGUCAGUCCAUCACAGGGCAAUAUACAUUUGUACACUGAAUCACUCCGAUUUAGAGUCACCAAUUCACCUACCGGCAUAUUUUCUGAGAGGUGGGAACUCUGGAACCUGUAGCUGUGAGGCAGCAACGCUACCUCCUGCACCAGAUUUACUCACCUUGGCCAAUCAGUAGGCCUUAGGAGAACCCCAGAGACAGGAGAACUAAUGUGCAUGUCUAAUGAAGAAAGCUAGAUGGACAAGAAGAUAUAAAUGAAAGAGCAGAACAUUGUACAAUAUUUACAAACAAGUAACAUGGCAACAGUGUUCCACAAACUAUAUUAAGUAAAAAAAAAUGUGUAACAAGAAUAAGUCUGUGUAUUCUAAAACAAAGUAUCAUUUUUGGUUAAAACAGGAAAUCCAGUGUUGAUUUGAUGGAUACACAAUAACAUUUUAAUAACUGUGGUACUUUUCCAUUAGAUGAGUGG